rnacentral:tRNA from 2 species
GCGGGGUGGAGCAGCCUGGUAGCUCGUCGGGCUCAUAACCCGAAGGUCGUCGGUUCAAAUCCGGCCCCCGCACCA